rnacentral:ncRNA from 1 species
AAUAAGUUUGAUUCUUGCUUUAUAUUCUUAUUAUAUAAAAAUAUAAUACAUGAAAAUAUUAAUAAUCCUAGGUUAAUUUUGUUAAAAACAAAAUAAUAAAUCUCAGUAUAUAAUAUUAAACAAUUAAUUAAAGUUAGAUUUAAUUUUUAUAAAUAUUCUGGUAAAAAUUUGUGCCAGCAGCCGCGGUUAUACUUUAAGAAAAAAUAAGAAAUCAUUAAUCUAUAGUAACCCUAUCUCCAUGUAUUUAUAUAAAUUUUAUUAAUAUAAAGAGUAAAAUCAAUUUGAAUUAUAUAAAUUUUUUUAUAAAUAACACUUUAAAAUAAAACUAUAAAAAUUAAAAUAUAAACUAGGAUUAGAUACCCUACUAUAUUUAAUCUUAAACAAAAAGAUUGAUUACUAAAAAUUAUAUUUUAUAAAUUCAAAGAAUUUGGCGGUAUUUUAAUCUAAUUAGAGGAACUUGUUUUAUAAUCGAUAAACCCCGUUAAAUCCCUCUUAUUUUAAAUAGCCUGUAUACCGUCAUUAUUAAAUAAUUUUUAUUGAAAAAAUUAUUGUAAAUAAAUUCCUUUAAAUAUAUUAGAUCAAGGUGCAGCUAAUAAAUAAGAAAAAAUGAGUUACAAUAAUAAUUUGUUUAAACGAAUUAUAUUUUUAAAUAGAUAUAUAAAGGAGGAUUUAAUUGUAAAUAAAAAUAAAAAAUUGAUAUUAGCCAUAAAAUAUGUACAUAUCGCCCGUCGCUUUCAUUAAAAAUGAGAUAAGUCGUAACAUAGUGGGUGUACCGGAAGGUGCACCCAGAAUUUA